rnacentral:rRNA from 1 species
GGGGUUGUGCACGCUCUGUUUAACAUCCACUCACACCUGUGCACCUUCUGUAGUUCUAUGGGCCGGGGGACCCUGUCCUCCUUCUGUAGCUCUACGUCUUUACACACACACUGUAAUAAAGUCUUGUGGAAUGUAUGCCGCGUUUAACGCAAUACAAUACAACUUUCAGCAACGGAUCUCUUGGCUCUCGCAUCGAUGAAGAACGCAGCGAAAUGCGAUAAGUAAUGUGAAUUGCAGAAUUCAGUGAAUCAUCGAAUCUUUGAACGCACCUUGCGCCCCUUGGUUAUUCCGAAGGGCAUGCCUGUUUGAGUAUCAUGAACACCUCAACUCUUGUGGUUUCCCACAAUGAGCUUGGACCAUGGGGGUUUUUGUUGGCCUUCUGGUCAGCUCCUCUCAAAUGUAUCAGCUUACCGGUGUUUGGUGGCAUCAUGGGUGUGAUAACUAUCUACGCUCGUGGUCGUCUCCAAAUGACCUCCAGUGAUGGGGGUUCGCUGGAGCUUAUAAAUGUCUCUCCCUAGUGAAGACAGCCUUUGAACGUUCGAUCUCAAAUCAGGUAGGACUACCCGCUGAACUUAAGCAUAUCAAUAAGCGGAGGAAAAGAAACUAACAAGGAUUCCCCUAGUAACUGCGAGUGAAGCGGGAAAAGCUCAAAUUUAAAAUCUGGCGUGCCUCUGGUCGUCCGAGUUGUAGUCUGGAGAAGCGUUUUCCGUGUUGGACCGUGUACAAGUCCCU